GACGAACGCUGGCGGCGUGCUCAACACAUGCAAGUCGAACGGUAAGGCCCUUCGGGGUACACGAGUGGCGAACGGGUGAGUAACACGUGGGUGAUCUGCCCUGCACUUCGGGAUAAGCCUGGGAAACUGGGUCUAAUACCGGAUAGGACUCCGGACUGCAUGGUCUGGGGUGGAAAGCUUUUGCGGUGUGGGAUGGGCCCGCGGCCUAUCAGCUUGUUGGUGGGGUGAUGGCCUACCAAGGCGACGACGGGUAGCCGGCCUGAGAGGGUGACCGGCCACACUGGGACUGAGAUACGGCCCAGACUCCUACGGGAGGCAGCAGUGGGGAAUAUUGGACAAUGGGCGGAAGCCUGAUCCAGCAACGCCGCGUGAGGGAUGACGGCCUUCGGGUUGUAAACCUCUUUCACCUACGACGAAGCCUCUUGGGGUGUGGUGACGGUAGGUGGGGAAGAAGCACCGGCCAACUACGUGCCAGCAGCCGCGGUAA
rnacentral:rRNA from 1 species